rnacentral:rRNA from 1 species
UAUUGCACAAUGGGGGAAACCCUGAUGCAGCGACGCCGCGUGAGUGAAGAAGUAUUUCGGUAUGUAAAGGUCUAGCAGCAGGGAAGAAAACGACGGUACCGGAGUAAGAAGCCCCGGCUAACUACGUGCCAGCAGCCGCGGUAAUACGUAGGGGGCAAGCGUUAGCCGGAUUUACUGGGUGCAAAGGGAGCGUAGACGGCAGCACAAGUCUGGAGUGAAAUGCCGGGGCUUAACCCCGGAACUGCUUUGGAAACUGUGCAGCUAGAGUGCAGGAGAGGUAAGUGGAAUUCCUAGUGUAGCGGUGAAAUGCGUAGAUAUUAGGAGGAACACCAGUGGCGAAGGCGGCUUACUGGACUGUAACUGACGUUGAGGCUCGAAAGCGAGGGGAGCAAACAGG